CGCCCGCCGCCCAGGACCCAGGGCCCUUCUGAAAAGUGGAGCCUCCCUACACCCUACGCACACGGCGGCUGUUCCCCACGACACAGCGGGGGGCAAAUGACCACCAGGAGCCAGGGAGUCCCAGGGAAAGGACGCAGAUGGCUCGUGUCCUGGAAUUUCAUGGGAGCCAUUUGAAAUCAUCAGCAAAUGACGCCCGAGUCUAUAAGGGACCUCAGCGCAGGGGCUGGAUGAGACAGGGUGGGCAGCCACAAAACAGGGUGGUGAAGGCCCGAGGCCAGGAGGGCUGGGUUAGCACUCGGCCACCAGAGGGAAGCAAGCAAGCUCCCUCCCUCUCUCUCUUUCUCUCUGUCUAUGUGUCUUUCUCUCUCCCUCUCUGUCUCUCUCCAUCUCUCUCUCCACCCACACCUCCUGAGGAUUGUUGGGUUUUCCCAUGGACUAGGGUUAGACAGCCAGCGAGUCUGAACGGAAGGCGCCAGGUGUGGCAGUGGGGAAGUGAGGUGGGGCCUGGAACACAAGGGCAAGGGCCUCUGGGAGGACCGCGCAGGCUCGGCACACUGAGCGGACUGACUGCAGACCCUCCUCCCACACCAGGGGGACCACCUCUCUGUGCAAAGAUGUCCUCACUUGAUAUUCUCAAUUCUUUGAGGUCAAGGUUUUAUUAACACUCCCUGAAAAGUGGGAGAGCUUAGUGAUAAGACUGUAUCAUUUUUGCAAGACACAAAGCAAGCACAGCUGGAUGGCAUGUGCCAGCUCCCUCACCAUGCUGAGCACUUUUACUCACAUCUCACCCCUGCAGACAGAUGCCAGUGUCCUCACUCACCCACUGGGGCAGACAUUAUUAGUUGCCAAUGCAAGACCCAUUUCCUCACGUCCUAACUAAUAGAACCCCAACUGUGUCCAGGCAGGUGACGUGCCCAGCUAAAAAUACUCACCUUUUCAGACUCCCUUGAAGUUAGUAGCGGCCACGUGAUACUUCCAACAAAUAAGACAUACACAGAGAUCUGCUGGGGCUUCUGUGAAAACUUUUACUUCCCUGAAACGGGUACCACCUUCCUUCUCCCAUUCUUUCUUCCUCCUUGAAGCACAGAAGCAAUGCCUGGAGCUGCAGCGGCCAUUUUGUGAUUGUGAAGCAAUGACCUGAGGAAUGAAGGCCAACAUCAAGGAUGGCAAAACAGAGAGAGG
rnacentral:lncRNA from 1 species